ACGGAAGGCAGCAGUGGGGAAUAUUGGGCAAUGGGCGCAAGCCUGACCCAGCAAUGCCGCGUGAAGGAAGAAGGCUUUCGGGUUGUAAACUUCUUUUAAGUGGGACGAUAAUGACGGUACCACUUGAGUAAGCUCCGGCUAACUACGUGCCAGCAGCCGCGGUAAUACGUAGGGAGCAAGCGUUAUCCGGAUUUACUGGGUGUAAAGGGCGUGUAGGCGGGACAUCAAGUCAGAUGUGAAAGCACGAGGCUCAACUUCGUGUCUGCAUUUGAAACUGACGUUCUUGAGUGUUGGAGAGGCUAACGGAACUCCUAGUGUAGCGGUGAAACGCGUAGAUAUUAGGAAGAACACCAGUGGCGAAGGCGGUUAGCUGGACAAUAACUGACGCUGAGGCGCGAAAGCGUGGGUAGCAAACAGGAUUAGAUACCCUGGUA
rnacentral:rRNA from 1 species